GGGCGCAUAGCUCAGUCGGUUAGAGCAUUUGCAUCACACGCAAAGGGUCGAGGGUUCGAGUCCUUCUGCGCCCACCA
rnacentral:tRNA from 1 species